rnacentral:rRNA from 1 species
UACGUAGGGGGCAAGCGUUGUCCGGAAUCAUUGGGCGUAAAGAGCGUGUAGGCGGCUCGGUAAGUCCGCUGUGAAAGUCCAGGGCUCAACCCUGGAAUGCCGGUGGAAACUGUCGAGCUUGAGUCCGGAAGAGGCGAGUGGAAUUCCUGGUGUAGCGGUGAAAUGCGCAGAUAUCAGGAGGAACACCAAUGGCGAAGGCAGCUCACUGGGACGGUAUUGACGCUGAGACGCGAAAGCGUGGGGAGCAAACAGG